rfam:Pan troglodytes isolate Yerkes chimp pedigree #C0471 (Clint) chromosome 2B, whole genome shotgun sequence.
AUAGGUGAUAGAAAUUUUUAUCCUUGUGCAAUAGACAUAGUACCAUAAGGGAAAGAUGAAAGAACUGUAUCAAGCACUAAAAAUCAAAGACAAGCCCUAUACCUUUUGCAUAAUGUAUUAACCAGAAAUAACUUUACACAGAGAACGACAGACAAGUCCCCUGAAACCAGAUGAGCUACCCAAGAAUAACUGAAAGAGCACACCCACCUAUGUGGCAAAAUAGUGGGAAGAUUGAUGAGUAGGGGGGACAAGCCUACCAAGCCUAGUGAAAGCUGGUUGUCCAAGAUAGAGUUUUAGUCCAACUUUAAACUUACCCACAGAAUUACUUAAUCUCCUUGUAAGUUUAACCGUUACUUUAAAGAGGGACAGCUCUUUAGACCGUAGGAAACAACCUUCUUAUAGAAAAUAAAAAAUAUUAUUACCACCAUACUUGGCCCAAAAGCAGCCACCAAUUAAGAAAGAGUUUAAGCUCAAUGUCUAACUACCUUAAAUUCUAAUCGCUCUACUGAGCUCCUAACAUCACGUUGGACUAAUCUAUUACUUAAUAGAAGCAAUAAUGUUAGUAUAAGUAACAUGAAGACAUUCUCCAUUGCAUAAGCUUACAGCAGACUGGAAUAACCCAUUGACAGUUAAUAGCCUAAUAUUAAUAAAUGAUACAAUAAGCACCCUAUUAUUUACACUGUUAACCCAACUCAGGUAAGCUCUAAGGAAAGAUUACAAAAAGUAAAAGAAACUCAGCAAAUCAUACCCUGACUGUUUACCAAAAACAUCACCUCUAGCAUUAACAGUAUCAGAGGCACUGCCUACCCAGUGACAUAUGUUUAACGGCCACAGUAUCCUGACAGUGCACAGGUAGCAUAAUCACUUGUUCCCUAAAUAGGGACUUGUAUGAAUGGUUACAUGAGGAUUCAGCUGUCUUACUUUUAAUCAGUGAAACUGACCUAUCCGUGAAGAAACAGAUAUAAACAAAUAAGAGAAGAAGACCCUAUGGAGCUUUAAUUCAUUAAUGCAAAUAGAAACUCAAACAAGCCUACAGGCCCUAGCCUACUAUCCUUGCAUUUAAAAUUUUGGUUGAGGUGACCUUGGAGCAUAAUUCAACCUCCGAACAACCUAAAUUAAGACUGCACUAGCCUAGGUGAGUUAAAACACACUGACCCAAUGAUUCAAUCAACAGAAUAAGUUACCCUAGGGAUAACAGCACAAUCCUAUUCUAGAGUUCAUAUCGACAAUAGGGUUUAUGACCUCGAUGUUGGAUCAGGACAUCCACAUGGUGUAGCCACUAUUAAGGGUUUGUCUGUUCAAAGAUUAAAGUCCUGUGUGAUCUGAGUUCAGACUAGAGUAAUCCAGGCCGGUUUCUAUCUAUUUAACAUUUCUCUUAGUA